rnacentral:rRNA from 1 species
GACGAACGCUGGCGGCGUGCUUAACACAUGCAAGUCGAACGGACAGGCCUGCUUUUCCUUGUGGUUUGCGGGUACUCGAGUGGCGAACGGGUGAGUAACACGCGUGUGAUUUGCCCUCAACUUGGUUAUAAGCCUGGGAAACUGUGUCUAAUUCCCGAUAGGACUGCAUGGUUCUGCCUUUGGUGGAAAUCUUUUUUCUAGUUGUUGGGGAUGAGCUCGCGGCUUAUCAGCUUGUUGGGGGGGUAAUUUCCUACCAAGGCGGCGACGGGUAGCCGGAGUGAGAGGGGGGACGGCGACAUUGAGACUGGGACACGGCCCAGACGGGUACGAGAAGCAGCAGAGGGGAAGAUUGGAGAGUGGGCGGAAGCGUGAAGCAGCGAGGGAGCGAGGAGGAUGACGGGAUUCGGGUGGUAAACUACUUGCGAACGAGAGGAAGGCACGUGGCUGGAAGGGUGGUGACGGUAGUGGUAGAAGAAGCACCGGCUAACUACGUG